UACAAUUAAUAUUAAUUAACCUUUUCAAAAUUGGUAUGGACAAGGGGAAUCCAAUUGUUUAAUUAAAACAAAGCAUUGCGAUGGUCCCUACAGAUGCCAAUGCAAUGUGAUUUAUGCCCAGUGCUCUACAUGUCAAAGUGAAGAAAUUCAAUCAAGCACAGGUAAAAAAUGGGAGUAACUAUGACUCUCUUAAGGUAGGCAAAUGCCUUGUUAUCUAAUUAGUGAUGCACAUGAAUGAAUUAACUAUAUUACCACUAUCCAUAGAUACUAUCUAGAGAAACCACAACCAAGGGAAUGGGCUCCAUAAUUAGCGGGGAAAGAAGACCUUGUUAAGCUUGACUCUAGUCCAACUUUGUGAAAUGACUUGAGAGGUGUAGAACAAGUGGGAGCCAUUUUCAGCGCAAGUGAAAUACCACUAAUUUUAACGUUAUUUUACUUAUUCCAUGGGGCAGAGAUGAAGCAUUGCACAUAUGUUAAAAGAUAACACACAUUUCCUCAAAGUGUUGUCAUUGAUGGCAAUUUUCGAGAGCUCAUUCUUCAUGCACUUGAUGGAAAUGAGUUUAGGAAACAAAAGAAGAUUAUUUAUUUUAAGGAUAAACAAAGUUCCUACAAUCCCUGUGUUUUUAGCCAACACCCCCU
rnacentral:ncRNA from 1 species